GAGUAGUAAAUGUUUUGGACAGGAAACUUAAAGAAUUUGGCGGUGUAUAUUCUAAUGAGAGGAAUAUGUUUUUUAAUUGAUACUCCCCAUGUAUUUUACUUAAAUUUAUUUACUUUGUAUAUCUCCGUCUUAAAAAAACUUUUUAAAAUAUUUUUUAUUUCUUAUAAUUUAAAAUAAGUCAGGUCAAGGUGCAGGUUAUAUUUAAGUUGAAAUGUAUUACAAUAAAUCUAUUUUUGGAUUAAAAUUUAAAUGAUUUUAUAAAAUUGGAUUUAUGAGUAAAUUUUUUUAUAUAAUAAUUUAUUGAAUUGUGUUAAUAUACAUGCACACAUC
rnacentral:rRNA from 1 species